rnacentral:rRNA from 1 species
AUGGACUACAAAAUUUUUGCAGCAUGUUUUGAUGGUAGAAAAGGUGGAUUGCUUCUAGUCUGGAAGAAGGAGGUGAGGAUCUACUCCCAGACUACUACCUUUAGUGUCAUCGAUGUAACGGUUGAAGAACCGGACGGAAGAGAAUGGAGACUCUCGGGCAUAUAUGGGGAACCUAGUUGGGAUAAUAAGGAACGUACGUAUCAUCUACUACGGGACCUGCAUGCUCAGUCUAGCCUUUCGCGGGUUGCCAUUGGUGACUUCAAUGAGAUAUUACUUUCUUCAAAGAAGGAGGGAGCGUCGCAUCAGCAGGCGAGACUCCAAGCCUUCCAAGAUGCAUUGUCUGAUUGCUCUUUGGAGGACAUAGGAUACCAUGGCGAUAAAAUUACAUGGUUUCGAGGUGGAUUGAGGGAACGUUUGGAUCGGGCCGUCUCAAAUGCCGAAUGGAUGGAAAUGCACCCCUUGUGCGGGCUGUGCAAUCUUGAUAUGGGAAAAUCGGAUCAGAGGCCAAUAUGCCUGGACACUGACUACUUGGUCGGCAUGGCAGCUCCAAGGACGCAGCCGAGAUGA